AAUACAGUGAUAGCUGUUUUAAUGUCCUUGCCUGUUAAUUCUAAUAUUUGUAUCAACUCUGGGUUGAGAUUGAUUGACUUAUGUUCUUAUUUCCUGCAUCUUUUUGUGCCUGGUAAUAUUUGAUUGGAUGCCAAAUAUUGUGAAUUUUUUCUUGUUUGUGUUUGAUAUUUUUGAAUUCCUAUAAAUAUUCUUCACCUUUGUUCUAUAAUGCAGUUAACUUACUUGGAAGUAGCUUGACUCUUUUAGGUCUUGUUUUAAGAUUGGUUAGGUAGGACUAGAACAGUGCUUAAUUUAGGGCUACUUAUUCUCUGGAACUGGGUAAGACCCUGCCAUGUACUUUGUCCAGUGUCCCCCGAAUCAUAAGAUUUUCCAAUGUGGCAGGUGGGACCAGGCACUGUUCUUGAUUCUGUGUGAUUGCGGGCACAGCACUGUAACCUCUGAUCCUUUUUGACAUUUUUUCCUUCAGCCUCCUUAAUUUCCUUAUACCCAUGAGCAAGACUCAGCUGAAUUCUCAAGAACUCUCUGCAUAUCUCCAGAAUUCUCUCUCUGUGAACUUCUCUCCUUUCCUUUGAACCAUAGCUGCCUUGAUUUUCUGGACUUUCAACUCAGUAAGCUGCCAGUCCCUGCCUGGCUUCUCCCUUCCUCUACUGUGGCCGGAACUCUCAAGGCAGUAAGCUGGUACGAUCUUAGGACGCAUCUCACUUUCCCAUCUUCCAGAGCUCCCUCUUCUUGUUGCUAGCUGCUAUCCUGAAAGCCAUUUUUUCAUAUGUUUUUGUCCACUUUUUGGUUGUUUCAGAUAAAAAGAUAAAUUUGGUCCUUGUUAGUUCAUGUUGGCCAGAUGUGGAAGUUCCCUGGGUCUUUUGAAACUAAGGAGGCUGACAGAAGAGUGAGAGGUUGUGGGAAAAGUUUACAUAGACAGUGUGGUGAGGGCAGCCCAGGUGGCUCAGCGGAUUAGCGCCUGCCUUCAGCCCAGGGUGUGAUCCUGGAGACCCCGGAUCGAGUCCCACAUUGGGCUCCCUGCAUGGAGCCUGCUUCUCCCUCUGCCUCUCUCCUCUCUCUCUCUCUCUCUCUCUCUCUCCAAUAAAUAAAUAAAAUCUAAAAAAAAAAAAAAAAGACAAUAUGGUGAAUGGGAAAGUAUAGCUGACGUGGUAAGAGUUUCUUCGGGAAUAUUCAGAAGUGACUGAGUUGGCUACUGGUUGUAUUGAUUCAUUACUUAUUGCUCUGUAGCCAUUAUCUGUUUAGUGUCUGCUCUGUGCAAGAGCCUUACAAUACAUUAUUUCUUAUUUCUCCAAUAAGCCUGGAAGGUGUUGUUGUGGAUAAUCCUCCACACCCACCCCACCUUCUUCCCAGCCUCUGACCCAGCCCUUCUCAGUGUCAGAGAUGAGGAAAUAGAAAUGUGAAGUGACUGCAAAAGUCCUGCAGCCCGUAGAUUGUAUCAUCAGAUUUCAAGCUCCAUUCUUGGAGCUUCCAAACCGAUUGGUCCAUAUUACUUUCUCCUUGCCAACAGUGAGAUUUGUGUUGAGAGAGUGAUAGGGGAAUUAAGUGUGCUAAAAAGGGAGAGGUUGCAGGGACAGCUCCUGACAACUAGAUCAGGACAGAGAGUGUCCAAGAUGAAGACUGGUGGAUGUGAAGAACAGUUCCAGAGGUCUAAUCCUGUAGGCAGCCCUGGAUUAUGGCAGUGAGAGGGAGGGAGGUGGAAGAAAGACAUUUCCAGAAUUGUACCUGGCCUUCUAAUUCAUCCCAGAUCUCUAAUAACAGUUGCAGCUAGAUUGUAUAUCUCA
rnacentral:lncRNA from 1 species